CGGAUUGGAGUCUGCAACCCGACUCCAUGAAGCUGGAUUCGCUAGUAAUCGCGCAUCAGCCACGGCGCGGUGAAUACGUUCCCGGGCCUUGUACACACCGCCCGUCAAGCCAUGGGAGCCGGGGGUACCUGAAGUGCGUGACCGCAAGGAGCGCCCUAAGGUAAAACCGGUGACUGGGGCUAAGUCGUAACAAGGUAAC
rnacentral:rRNA from 1 species